rnacentral:rRNA from 1 species
AGAGUGGCGGACGGGUGAGUAACGCGUUGGGAAUCUACCCAGUAGUGGGGGACAACUACCGGAAACGGUAGCUAAUACCGCAUACGCCCUAUGGGGGAAAGGCUUCGGCCGCUAUUGGAUGAGCCCGCGUCAGAUUAGCUAGUUGGUAGGGUAAAGGCCUACCAAGGCAACGGUCUGUAGCUGGUCUGAGAGGACGAACAGCCACACUGGGACUGAGACACGGCCCAGACUCCUACGGGAGGCAGCAGUGGGGAAUAUUGGACAAUGGGCGAAAGCCUGAUCCAGCAAUGCCGCGUGUGUGAAGAAGGCCUGCGGGUUGUAAAGCACUUUCAGUUGGGAAGAUGAUGACGUUACCAACAGAAGAAGCACCGGCUAAAUCCGUGCCAGCAGCCGCGGUAAUACGGAUGGUGCGAGCGUUAAUCGGAAUUACUGGGCGUAAAGCGCGCGUAGGCGGCUAAGUCAGUCAGAAGUGAAAGCCCCGGGCUCAACUUGGGAAUUGCUUUUGAUACUGCUUAGCUAGAGUUUGGUAGAGGAUAGUGGAAUUCCAGGUGUAGCGGUGAAAUGCGUAGAUAUCUGGAGGAACAUCAGUGGCGAAGGCGACUGUCUGGACCAAAACUGACGCUGAGGUGCGAAAGCGUGGGUAGCAAACAGGAUUAGAUACCCUGGUAG